rnacentral:misc_RNA from 1 species
AGCAGCCGCGGUAAUUCCAGCUCCAAUAGCGUAUAUUAAAGUUGUUGCAGUUAAGAAGCUCGUAGUUGAAUUUCGGGGUUAGUAGGUUGGUCAUGCCUCUGGUAUGUACUGGUCCUCACUGAUUCCUCCUUCCUGAUGAGCCGUAAUGCCAUUAAUUUGGUGUUGCGAGGAAUUUGGACUGUUACUUUGAAAAAAUUAGAGUGUUUAAAGCAAGCUAACGCUUGAAUACAUUAGCAUGGAAUAAUGAAAUAGGACGUUCGAUCCUAUUUUGUUGGUUUCUAGGAUUGACGUAAUGAUUAAUAGGGAUAGUUGGGGGCAUUAGUAUUCAAUUGUCAGAGGUGAAAUUCUUGGAUUUAUUGAAGACUAACUACUGCGAAAGCAUUUGCCAAGGAUGUUUUCAUUAAUCAAGAACGAAAGUUAGGGGAUCGAAGACGAUCAGAUACCGUCGUAGUCUUAACCAUAAACUAUGCCGACUAGGGAUCGGAUGAUGUUAAUUUUUUAAUGACUCAUUCGGCGCCUU